AGCAGCCGCGGUAAUUCCAGCUCCAAUAGCGUAUAUUAAAGUUGUUGCAGUUAAAAAGCUCGUAGUUGAACUUCGGGGUUCACCCAUUGGUCAGGCUUAAUUGUCUGUACUGGUGAGAUGAAUCUCUACCUUCUGAGGAACUUUCAUGUCAUUAAUUUGAUGUGAUUGGAAAUCAGGACUGUUACUUUGAAAAAUUAGAGUGUUUAAAGCAGGCUAACGUCUGAAUACAUUAGCAUGGAAUAAUGAAAUAGGACGGACUGAUUCUAUUUCGUUGGUUUCUAGGAUCACCGUAAUGAUUAAUAGGGAUAGUUGGGGGCAUCAGUAUUCAAUUGUCAGAGGUGAAAUUCUUGGAUUUAUUGAAGACUAACUACUGCGAAAGCAUUUGCCAAGGAUGUUUUCAUUAAUCAAGAACGAAAGUUAGGGGAUCGAAGACGAUCAGAUACCGUCGUAGUCUUAACCAUAAACUAUGCCGACUAGGGAUCGGACGAAGUAAUUUAUAAUGACGCGUUC
rnacentral:rRNA from 1 species